GCCACAUGAUGUGUCUAAGAUACCAUGAACACACUGUGUAAUGUUGACUCUCUAUCUAUCACCCAAUCACUGAUGGCU